AGUGAACGCUGGCGGUAGGCCUAACACAUGCAAGUCGAACGGCAGCACAGUAAGAGCUUGCUCUUACGGGUGGCGAGUGGCGGACGGGUGCGGAAUACAUCGGAAUCUACUUUUUCGUGGGGGAUAACGUAGGGAAACUUACGCUAAUACCGCAUACGACCUACGGGUGAAAGCAGGGGAUCUUCGGACCUUGCGCGAUUGAAUGAGCCGAUGUCGGAUUAGCUAGUUGGCGGGGUAAAGGCCCACCAAGGCGACGAUCCGUAGCUGGUCUGAGAGGAUGAUCAGCCACACUGGAACUGAGACACGGUCCAGACUCCUACGGGAGGCAGCAGUGGGGAAUAUUGGACAAUGGGCGCAAGCCUGAUCCAGCCAUACCGCGUGGGUGAAGAAGGCCUUCGGGUUGUAAAGCCCUUUUGUCGGGAAAGAAAAGCAGCAGGUUAAUACCCCGCUGUUCUGACGGUACCCAAAGAAUAAGCACCGGCUAACUUCGUG
rnacentral:rRNA from 1 species